rnacentral:lncRNA from 1 species
UCACGAAUCAAAUGACUAAAACAAAAACAUCAUGAAAGGAUCACAACUGUGGCACAAAUAGAACUACUACCAAGAUUUUAACACUGCCUUUAUUCCAUCUUCAAAUUGAAGUUUACAUCAUAAAGGAUUUAGAAUUUGUACCUGGAGAUUAAAGGAAAAGAGGUAAAGAAAUAGUAACAGCAACAGAAUAACAGCCCUGGCAAACCAGUUCAAACUAGAAAUUUGAGAUGAAGCAGUAACAAAAGCAGACUUAAUGUAGCUAGAACUUCAAAAACUUUAAACCAGGCUUGGAAAUCUCAAACUCAAACUAUCUUCAUAUCAAGGAUUACUGAAGAAAUGCAAUGGAACAAUACAAGAGCUCAGCCUUUUGGGUUUUUCGUUAUUUUUUAUGAAUGAAAUCUCUUUUUUUAACUCUCUAUACCUU